CACCUACUCCCUUUGUCCCAAAUUUCUUGUCUUAGAUUUGUCUAGAUACGGAUGUAUCUAAUACUAAAAUGUGACUAGAUACAUCCGUAUCUAGACAAAUCUAAGACAAGAAUUUUGGGACGGAGGGAGUACUUU
rnacentral:pre_miRNA from 1 species